GCAAGAAGUCCUACCAGGAUAGGGGUCUCUCAUAGAAAUUCUCCUAUUUCAGAUGCGAGAACUAGCAGAGGUGCAGGUGUUGAGAGAACUCAAAUGGUAUCCCGAACACGUUGAACUAAAACCAAGCAGAAUCCUAGGCUAGCGAAUCAAGGUAUUCGUGUUUUUCCUUGAUUACCCGGCCUAGACUUCUACUAGGAAUAAGGAGAUAAGACCUUGUACGACUCUCUUCAGUAAGUGACCAAGUGCAGAUCGAAGCCUAAUGAUGCCAAAAUGAUUUUGGAAGGUAUUCAAUUUGUGGUAUCUUUAGGUAUUUAUGUAUUUAAAUUCCCCUUUUUAGUGGGUAAUUAAUUUUUGGACCAAUAGAAAUAAAUAAUUUAGUCC
rnacentral:lncRNA from 1 species